UGGGGAAUCUUCCGCAAUGGACGAAAGUCUGACGGAGCAACGCCGCGUGAGUGAUGACGGUCUUCGGAUUGUAAAGCUCUGUUAAUCGGGACGAAUGGUUUGUGUGCAAAUAGUGCAUAGACAUGACGGUACCGGAAUAGAAAGCCACGGCUAACUACGUGCCAGCAGCCGCGGUAAUACGUAGGUGGCAAGCGUUGUCCGGAAUUAUUGGGCGUAAAGCGCGCGCAGGCGGACUAGCCAGUCAGUCUUAAAAGUUCGGGGCUUAACCCCGUGAUGGGAUUGAAACUACUAGUCUAGAGUAUAGGAGAGGAAAGUGGAAUUCCUAGUGUAGCGAUGAAAUGCGUAGAUAUUAGGAAGAACACCAGUGGCGAAGGCGACUUUCUGGACGAACACUGACGCUGAGGCGCGAAAGCCAGGGGAGCGAACGGG
rnacentral:rRNA from 1 species